AGCGCAGGCGGGAAGACAAGUUGGAAGUGAAAUCCAUGGGCUCAACCCAUGAACUGCUUUCAAAACUGUUUUUCUUGAGUAGUGCAGAGGUAGGCGGAAUUCCCGGUGUAGCGGUGGAAUGCGUAGAUAUCGGGAGGAACACCAGUGGCGAAGGCGGCCUACUGGGCACCAACUGACGCUGAGGCUCGAAGGUGUGGGUAGCAAACA
rnacentral:rRNA from 1 species